AUGAGAGACGGCAGUUGGCAAGACAGUGAGAGACAGCAAGAGAUGGCAAGUGACAGUUAUCGUUAAGAUGACAAAUGGAGAGAUGGCAAGAAAUAAAGAAGCAGUCAGUGAUGGAGGCUGCAAGAGUUGUAACACUAACCAAAGGCUCUUUUUAGAGCCAUCGUUUUCCCUGGCAGGUGGUACAGCCAAGCAGACAGGCAAGUGGCCAUACUGCUGCUGCCUCAUGUGGGAUUCGGCAGGCUGGUGGGUUAUCAGUCCUCACGUGGGACCCUCCCACCAUGGCAGCUGAGCGCAUCCAAGCUGGGGGAUCCUGAAGAGACCUUCACCUGGGUGCCAUGUGGAAGAUUGGUCAGCACCAUUUUGACUCCUGUGGAUGGCUAAAGUGACCCAGCAGGCUUCCUGAGCCUUAGGCAUUACCUGUCGUCUUCACUCUUGGAGACCUCAAUCCUCAGUUCCAGGUAAAGACAAUCCUUGCACAAGGCUUCCAACUCGACCCGUCUACUGACCUGGAGAAUGAAAGUGUCCUGCCUCUGGGCCCCUCAGAUCAACACCCAAACUGCACCUGGUCACCUGUCUACAUUCAGAUUUGGAUGAAACCCACACCAUGGAGGCAGCCAGAAGCCCAUGGGAGAUGUCUGGAUGCACAGAGG
rnacentral:lncRNA from 1 species